UACGUAGGGUCCGAGCGUUGUCCGGAAUUAUUGGGCGUAAAGAGCUCGUAGGCGGUAUGUCGCGUCUGCUGUGAAAAACCGGGGCUUAACUUCGGUUUUGCAGUGGAUACGGGCAUGCUUGAGGUAGGUAGGGGAGACUGGAAUUCCUGGUGUAGCGGUGAAAUGCGCAGAUAUCAGGAGGAACACCGGUGGCGAAGGCGGGUCUCUGGGCCUUACCUGACGCUGAGGAGCGAAAGCAUGGGUAGCCAACAGGAUUAGAUACCCUGGUAGUCCCU
rnacentral:rRNA from 1 species